AAUAUCUACGAAUUUCACCUCUACACUAGAAAUUCUGCUUUCCUCUAUCAUACUCUAGCUGAAAAGUUUUGAUGGCAGUUCCAGAGUUAAGCUCUGGGAUUUCACCACCAACUUUUUCAACCACCUACGAACUCUUUAAGCCCAGUAAUUCCGAACUACGCUAGGUCCCUUCGUAUUACCGCGGCUGCUGGCACGAAGUUAGCCGGACCUUCUUAUUCGGGUACAGUCAUUUUCUUCCCCGACGAAAGAGCUUUACAACCCAAAGGCCUUCUUCACUCACGCGGCAUCGCUGCAUCAGAGUUUCCUCCAUUGUGCAAGAUUCCCCACUGCUGCCUCCCGUAGGAGUUUGGGCCGUGUCUCAGUCCCAAUGUGGCUGAUCAUCCUCGCAAAUCAGCUAUUGAUCAUAGUCUUGGUAGGCCAUUACCCUACCAACAAACUAAUCAAGUGCGGGCUCAUCCAAUGGUGCAUAAAGCUUUCUCCGUAAAGACUUAUCCGGUAUUAGCACAAGUUUCCUCGUGUUAUUCCAGGCCAAAGGGUAGAUACCCACAUGUUACUCACCCGUCUGCCAUUAAGUAUUGCUACUUCGUUCGACUUGCAUGUGUUAGGCGUGCCGCCAGCGUACGUUUUGAGCCAGGAUCAAACUCU
rnacentral:rRNA from 1 species